rnacentral:rRNA from 1 species
GAUGAACGCUGGCGGCGUGCCUAAUACAUGCAAGUCGAGCGAACAGACGAGGAGAUUGCUCCUCUGACGUUAGCGGCGGACGGGUGAGUAACACGUGGAUAACCUACCUAUAAGACUGGGAUAACUUCGGGAAACCGGAGCUAAUAACGGAUAAUAUAUUGAACCGCAUGGAUCAAUAGUGAAAGACGGUUUUGCUGUUACUUAUAGAUGGAUCCGCGCCGCAUUAGCUAGUUGGUAAGGUAACGGCUUACCAAGGCGACGAUGCGUAGCCGACCUGAGAGGGUGAUCGGCCACACUGGAACUGAGACACGGUCCAGACUCCUACGGGAGGCAGCAGUAGGGAAUCUUCCGCAAUGGGCGAAAGCCUGACGGAGCAACGCCGCGUGAGUGAUGAAGGUCUUCGGAUCGUAAAGCUCUGUUAUUAGGGAAGAACAAAUGUGUAAGUAACUAUGCACGUCUUGACGGUACCUAAUCAGAAAGCCACGGCUAACUACGUG